ensembl:lincRNA Gm12746 predicted gene 12746
AAGGGGCUCACAGCUGCUGGGCUGUGAACAAGCUGGACUUGGCUGUCUCACAACUGAAGAGGCAUUGAAGGGCAGGCUGGCGAUCCAGGCAAAGGGGACUGGGAGGAUUUCCUCCACUGGGACUGUCCCAAGAAAACCCUGGACCAACCCUGUCUCAGGCAGGUCAGAGCUCCAAGAUGGCUCAGCAGGAAAAGGUGUCUAUCACCAAGACUGACAGCUCAACCUGGGGCUCAGGCUGUAGAAGGAGAAAGCUGACUCUUGAAAGUUGUCCUGUGACAUAUAGCAUCACACACACACACACACACACACACACACACACACACACACACACACACACACACGUGCCUAGGCUCUUUAACCACAGAGAUAGAAACAAGGCCGGAGGGUGGGGUACCUCCUCUGUGUUCAUGUCUUCUCGGUGGCUCUGACCCUGCUCUGUACUCUUCUAUCUGGUCUCGGUCUUUUAACAUUCACUUCUGCUGUGUCACUUUCCUGGCCAGACAACUUUAGGGACCCUCCACCCCCUCCCCCAGCCCCUAUUCUGAGGAAUAGAUUCCAGCUCCCACACCUUCCAUGC